GGGUUGUGAGGUUAAGCGACUAAGCGUACACGGUGGAUGCCCUGGCAGUCAGAGGCGAUGAAGGACGUGCUAAUCUGCGAUAAGCGUCGGUAAGGUGAUAUGAACCGUUAUAACCGGCGAUUUCCGAAUGGGGAAACCCAGUGUGUUUCGACACACUAUCAUUAACUGAAUCCAUAGGUUAAUGAGGCGAACCGGGGGAACUGAAACAUCUAAGUACCCCGAGGAAAAGAAAUCAACCGAGAUUCCCCCAGUAGCGGCGAGCGAACGGGGAGGAGCCCAGAGCCUGAAUCAGUGUGUGUGUUAGUGGAAGCGUCUGGAAAGGCGCGCGAUACAGGGUGACAGCCCCGUACACAAAAAUGCACAUGCUGUGAGCUCGAUGAGUAGGGCGGGACACGUGGUAUCCUGUCUGAAUAUGGGGGGACCAUCCUCCAAGGCUAAAUACUCCUGACUGACCGAUAGUGAACCAGUACCGUGAGGGAAAGGCGAAAAGAACCCCGGCGAGGGGAGUGAAAAAGAACCUGAAACCGUGUACGUACAAGCAGUGGGAGCAUGCUUAGGCGUGUGACUGCGUACCUUUUGUAUAAUGGGUCAGCGACUUAUAUUCUGUAGCAAGGUUAACCGAAUAGGGGAGCCGAAGGGAAACCGAGUCUUAACUGGGCGUUAAGUUGCAGGGUAUAGACCCGAAACCCGGUGAUCUAGCCAUGGGCAGGUUGAAGGUUGGGUAACACUAACUGGAGGACCGAACCGACUAAUGUUGAAAAAUUAGCGGAUGACUUGUGGCUGGGGGUGAAAGGCCAAUCAAACCGGGAGAUAGCUGGUUCUCCCCGAAAGCUAUUUAGGUAGCGCCUCGUGAA
rnacentral:rRNA from 1 species